rnacentral:misc_RNA from 1 species
CGACUACCAAACAGUGAAGCCCCCUAUUUCUGUAAGAUUGGAACCAUGGCUGUAUUGAAAAUAUCUUACCAACUAUAGUUUUCAGCUAUGUACAUAUUUACAAGGGCAUUAUGAGUAGAACUCAUAACUUGAUAGGUUAUAUAUCAUAUCUCGACCAAGAGGAUCUCUUUCUGACAUCUCCUCAAUUGACAACAAAAGGAGGAACAGGUUCAAG